rnacentral:rRNA from 1 species
ACUGGUCUGAGAGGAUGAUCAGNCACACUGGAACUGAGACACGGUCCAGACUCCUACUGGAGGCAGCAGUGGGGAAUAUUGGACAAUGGGCGAAAGCCUGAUCCAGCCAUGCCGCGUGUGUGAAGAAGGUCUUCGGAUUGUAAAGCACUUUAAGUUGGGAGGAAGGGCAGUUACCUAAUACGUGAUUGUUUUGACGUUACCGACAGAAUAAGCACCGGCUAACUCUGUGUCAGCAGCCGCGGUAAUACAGAGGGUGCAAGCGUUAAUCGGAAUUACUGGGCGUAAAGCGCGCGUAGGUGGUUUGUUAAGUUGGAUGUGAAAUCCCCGGGCUCAWCCUGGGAACUGCAUUCAAAACUGACUGACUAGAGUAUGGUAGAGGGUGGUGGAAUUUCCUGUGUAGCGGUGAAAUG